GUGGUGAGUGCAGCUGUGUGAGCAUGUGACCUUCCUCCGUUUGGCUGGGCUGAUGCUGUUUCCUAUAAAUGUUUGAACAUAUGUGGCAGCAAAGCAGAUUCUUUAUCUUGUGAGACCUUGUCAAUACUGCAGAAACAAGAACAAGUUUCAGUGACUCUAAGUGGCAGAAAGAAUGGACAAAUCCCUGGGCUUGCUCAUCCUUUGGUUACAACUAGACUGGGUGAGCAGCAAACAGGAGGUGAAGCAAAGUCCUGAAGCUCUGAAUAUCCGAGAGCAGGACAGCGUGGUUCUCAACUGCAGUUACACGGAUGGCACUCUUUAUUCCGUUCAGUGGUUUCGGCAGGACCCUGGGAAAGGGCUCACAUUGCUAAUGAUAAUUCUGUCAAAUCAGAAGGAACAAACAAGUGGAAGAAUUAAAGUCUUGUUGGAUACCCGGGCAAGACAGAGCUCUUUAUACAUUGUAGCUUCUCAGCCCAGCGACUCGGCCACCUACCUCUGUGCAGGGGGGGUGUGAAUUAUAACAAGGGAG